GAUGAACGCUGGCGGCGUGCUUAACACAUGCAAGUCGAACGAAGCACUGUUUAACUUUCGGGUUAAACAGUGACUUAGUGGCGGACGGGUGAGUAACGCGUGGGUAACCUGCCUUAUACAGGGGGAUAACAGCUGGAAACGGCUGCUAACACCGCAUAAGCGCACAGCAUCGCAUGAUGCAGUGUGAAAAUAUUUAUAGGUAUAAGAUGGACCCGCGUCUGAUUAGCUAGUUGGUGAGGUAAUGACCCACCAAGGCGACGAUCAGUAGCCGGCUUGAGAGAGUGAACGGCCACAUUGGGACUGAGACACGGCCCAAACUCCUACGGGAGGCAGCAGUGGGGAAUAUUGCACAAUGGGGGAAACCCUGAUGCAGCGACGCCGCGUGAGUGAAGAAGUAUUUCGGUAUGUAAAGCUCUAUCAGCAGGGACGAUAAUGACGGUACCUGACUAAGAAGCCCCGGCUAACUACGUGCCAGCAGCCGCGGUAAUACGUAGGGGGCAAGCGUUAUCCGGACUUACUGGGUGUAAAGGGAGCGUAGGUGGUUCGAUAAGUCAGAUGUGAAAGCCCGGGGCUCAACCCCGGGACUGCAUUUGAAACUAUCGAACUAGAGUGCAGGAGAGGUAAGUGGAAUUCCUAGUGUAGCGGUGAAAUGCGUAGAUAUUAGGAGGAACACCAGUGGCGAAGGCGGCUUACUGGGGAGAAACUGACGCUGAGGCGCGAAAGCUGGGGGAGCAAACGGGAUUAGAUACCCCGGUAGUCCCAGCCGUAAACGAUGAGUGCUAGGUGUAGCGGGUAUCGA
rnacentral:rRNA from 1 species